CUACGGAGGAUGCAAGCGUUAUCCGGAUUUAUUGGGUUUAAAGGGUGCGUAGGCGGUUUGCUAAGCGGGAGGUGAAAUGCCGGCGCUCAACGUCGGAAGUGCCUCCCGAACUGGUGGACUGGAAUGACUCUGCCGUGGGAGGAAUGUGUAGUGUAGCGGUGAAAUGCUUAGAGAUUACACAGAACACCGAUUGCGAAGGCAUCUCACGAAGGGUUGAUUGACGCUGAGGCACGAAAGCGUGGGGAUCAAACAGGAUUAGAUACCCUGGUAGUCCACGCAGUAAACGAUGAUGGCUAACCGCUGGAUCCAUCGGUUCAGUGGCCAAGCGAAAGCGAUAAGCCAUCCACCUGGGGAGUACGACCGCAAGGUUGAAACUCAAAUGAAUUGACGGGG
rnacentral:rRNA from 1 species